AUUAGCACCAUGCUAUAAGUUAUGCUAACUGGUGUGUUUAAGUGCAACAAUUUGAUUGGCCAAAGCAGUUGCUCCCCCUUAUACUACACGUAGUAUUUGCUACUUUAUACAUUUGAAAUACUACUCCACUACAUUUCUCCCGGAUGAGGUUCCAUUGUACAGCAGCAGUAGUAGCAGACAAGUAUAUACAUUAUUUAUAUUUAGUAUAUACAUUAUUUAUAUAUUUAAUGUUUAUUUGUAUAGGGACAAGUAUAUAGCAUGAACCAACGCCACAUACCUCAGCAUUUGUAGGUAAUUUGGUAAGGUAAUUUGCAAUGGCCGUCCCUACAUACAGAACAGCACAAAACAAACGUCAAAGUACCCACUUGAAUUUCAAACAUAUGAUGUUUGAUUUAUGUUUUAAAUUCAACAUGUAUUUAAAAUCGCUCCAGGAACUAAACUCAGUUAUUAACUCUAACUGUUCUUCUUGUGCUUGUGUUACUACCCCAUUACCGUCAAGAACAGACAUGUUGUGUUCUUGUACAUUCAUUUGUAUAUUGUGGACAUGGAUAUCAUCCUGAAAUAAUGAUUUAAAAAAAUCAAUGGUCAAGUAUAUCCUAUUGUUCAGAGUCUACUACCAUAAACAGACUCAGAUUGUCAAAUUCAGAAGGUGUUGUUGUUUGAUAAAAAAUAUUUGACUAUCAUGUCAAUUCCACCAUAUUAAAGGUGUCCUGAGAUGAACUGCAGACCGGAUUGUUUUUCAUCUUUGAUGAAGCUCUCUAGUUCAAUGAUUUAUUGGACAACAUCGCCUCCUGGUGAAAAUCGACGUGAACUGGUUUCCUUUUGGUUGUGAGCAUUAUGACAUACAUCCAUGUUUAGUAUGCAUAAUAAAUACUUUCUAAUUGUAGUAUCAGGCCAACUAUUAUACACUACGCGAGAAAGAGUGAACUAUAAAUCCAAGUGUUCGACAGAGGAGGCAAGUAACAAGGUGUAUGAACAAUCAGCAUGCAUUCCAGCCCUUUCUGAAGUCUACAUUUCACCAAACGUAGAGUGCUCCUUGAACACAUCAGAACGGCCAAAACAUUUGUCAAAAUCACCACUGGUUUGCCAUAAAUCCCAAAAUAUAGGGGAGGCUUUUGUACUUACUUUGUUGGCUAUUCUGACUUCUGACUUGUGUGUUUUUUGGAUAACACCCAAAUUUGAGGACAUUUUCACAGUAUGAUGGGCAGGAGCAAUAUUGUAAGAAUCUAUUGGGCCGACAGUGACACUGCAGCUGUUCCUCGCUUUGUUCUGGAAGGCCUGAGUGUGGAUAAGAGAUGAGAGAGAUGCAGACCGGCGGAAUAAAGAGAAGGAGAACCAAGGGAGGAAAUGGGGGUGUGAAAAAGGAGGGGACUGAUGAGAUUAUCAAGCAGGAUGGAGAAAUCUACAGUGUUUAUUCACUGCACAAAUCAUUUUUCCUCCCAUUUGUCAUGUGGAAAGGACCCGCAGGCAGAACUGGACUCCGUGUGGAACAGUGGUCUAUCUUAAUCCACUAAUGGGUUCCAUGGGGUUUGCGGUGUUGCUGGAACAUUGAUUUAAAGCAUCAUCGAUCAGCCAAUUUAACAAGCCUGAGGCAAGGGAGCACAGAAGCACACUCCCCAUCUCAUCCUCUCCUAGGUACCUGUGGUCUCAUUUUGAGCACUGCACAAAAUAGUUGUGAGCCAAUUUGUUUUAUUCCUUCCUUUAAUCACCAACUGCAGUUAAAUAAUUGGUUUAAUUCAUAUACUUAAACACAGGUCACAGUAUCAUGAAGUACGUCAUGUUAAUGAACAAAUCUUGUGGGUUUAAAAUAUUGGAUGUACCUUCAGUAUUUGUAGUAAUUCCCCUAUCCCCGAAACAGUCAAAAAAGUAUUGAUCUGCCUAUGGAAAUUUGACCUGUGGGUUGCAAAAUUACAGCAUAAUCAUUUGAUUUCACAGACAUGGUCCUGGGAGUAAAAACAUAUGAAUCUAGAUCCACCUUGUGUUUGAGACUAUUCACACUGAGCAUCUAGCACAAGAAUAUUCAGUGGCCUGUGACCUUAUAAUGUCAUCAGUAUCACUUACGUGUUUACAGUCUUUGAUCAAUAUGGUGGACACCAUGGUGCUACAGAGAAUCAUGGAGCAAGCAAAGGAACACUUACUACUAUACAUACUACUAUAUAUAACAGUCAAUCACUUACACCAAUCACAGAGGCAGCAUACAUGUCAAUACUGCAUUGACCAAGCAGUGUCUUCCAUAUUAUGUGAGGCUUGUUUGAAGCACUACAGUAAAUUAAUGUCAGGAAAAGAACUGAAUUGUGUGCUACCAUAUAAGUAAAACUAAAUAAAUCACGUUGAAAAACUGAAUAAUAUAGCACAACAAUCAACUGUGAUCUAAUUUUUUUAUUCACA